rnacentral:rRNA from 1 species
AACGAACGCUGGCGGCAGGCCUAACACAUGCAAGUCGAGCGAGGUAGCAAUACCUAGCGGCGGACGGGUGAGUAACGCGUGGGAACGUGCCCUUUGCUACGGAAUAGCCCUGGGAAACUGGGAGUAAUACCGUAUGUGCCCUUCGGGGGAAAGAUUUAUCGGCAAAGGAUCGGCCCGCGUUGGAUUAGGUAGUUGGUGGGGUAAUGGCCUACCAAGCCGACGAUCCAUAGCUGGUUUGGGAGGAUGAUCAGCCACACUGGGACUGAGACACGGCCCAGACUCCUACGGGAGGCGGCAGUGGGGAAUCUUAGACAAUGGGCGCAAGCCUGAUCUAGCCAUGCCGCGUGAGCGAUGAAGGCCUUAGGGUUGUAAAGCUCUUUCGUGGGGGAAGAUAAUGACUGUACCCCAAGAAGAAGCCCCGGCUAACUCCGUGCCAGCCGCCGCCGUAAAAC